GGGGAUGCUCGGAUUCGAUAAAAAGGAAUUCUUUAAUAUGCGGGUUGAGGAACUUCGUUAGCUCAUUAAAAACGAAGAGGCAAUUACAUGCCAAUCGAAAUUUUGCUUAUGCUUAUGCCUAAAACAUAAGUUAAGCUUCUCCCCUUUUGGGGAAUCUCUUUAAUGGAUUCUCGAUAAAUUAAAGGGAUUUAAACUUCGAGAUAGAGAUAAUCUAGUUUAUCCAGCUAUAUUAUCUUGAAAUUUUUUGGAUAGUAUUAAGAAAUGUUUUGUUUAGUUUUAAUUCUUAAUACUAUAAAAACUAAACUACACUCGUAGAUUUAUUAAAGAUGAACUUUUUAGACGCGAGUUCAACUCUCGCCAUCUCCACCC
rnacentral:tmRNA from 1 species